GUGCCAGCCGCCGCGGUAAUACGAAGGCCCCAAGCGUUAUCCGGAAUUACUGGGCGUAAAGCGUCUGUAGGUGGUUCUGUAAGUCUCAAGUGAAAGGUCAGGGCUCAACCCUGUACUUGCUUGGGAAACUACAGAACUAGAGUGCGGGAGAGGCAAGCAGAACGGUGUGAGUAGGGGUGCAAUCCGUUGACACACACCAGAAUACCAAAAGCGAAGGCAGCUUGCUGGAACGCCACUGACACUGAGAGACGAAAGCGUGGGGAGCGAAAGGGAUUAGAAACCCCAGUAGUCC
rnacentral:rRNA from 1 species